GACGAACGCUGGCGGCGUGCUUAACACAUGCAAGUCGAACGGAAAGGCCCUGCUCUUGCGGGGUGCUCGAGUGGCGCACGGGUGAGUAAAACGUGAGUAACCUGCACUUGACUUUGGGAUAACAUCAGGAAACUGGGGCUAAUACCGGAUAGGAGCUCCUGCUGCAUGGUGGGGGAUGGAAAGUUUCGGCGGUUGGGGAUGGUAUAGCGGGUUAUCAGCUUGUUGGUGGGGUAGUGGCUUACAAGGGCUUUGACGGGUAGCCGGCCUGGGAGGGGGACCGGCGACAUUAGGACUGAGGUAGGGCCCAGACGCGUACGGGAGGCAGCAGGGGGGAAUAUUGCACAAUGGGCGGAAGCGUGAUGCAGCAACGCCGCGUUCGUGAUGACGUCCUUCUGGUGGUAAACCGCUGUCGCCGGUGACGAAGCGGGAUUGACGGUAAUUGGUAAGGAAGCACCGGCUAACUACGUG
rnacentral:rRNA from 1 species